rnacentral:lncRNA from 1 species
CCAUAGAAUUUCAUCUUGUCUUCUCUUGCGCCUCUCUUUUGAUACUAUGAUCUUCACCGUACCCUUCCUGUAACCACUUAUCUCUUUCUUUUUCCUUCGUGGUAACCAUUCUUGCAUUAAUUAUUCAACUAAUUGGGGGAGGUUUUGCUCCCUCCGUUACAUACCCAAAAAAAGUGGGCAUUUUCAUUUGUUCUCUCUUUUUUACCAUUUGCUGCUCAAAAAAGGUUUCGAGCAAACG